UUUGCCGAGACGCUGCAUGGCGGUCUGGUCGUCCUUUGUUCUUCGAAAGUAUUUCGCCAAUACUUUGGAGGCAAAAACAACAUAUUCAAACGUUUCUUACGUGUGUUUCGUGUCGAACGCAUCAUUUGAGGCCGAUACGAUGGAGAAUGAGUGAGAUUUCCGUUUGUGAAGAGACAGCGAUGACACGCUCGCGCUGUAAGUACAUCAUUUUCAUGUCUAAACGUUUCGUUUUUUUGCGACAUCUUUUCAGUAUGCGUUUUAGUAGCUGUGUUGCAAGUUUGGCCGCUAGCCGUUGGGGAUUAUUUGAGUUAUGCCCAUAGUAACCGCUUGUUCUCUGUUGCUAUGGCUAUGUACCCGUAUGUUUUGCUGUCCAGACGGCGAUGCAACGAACAAGAAAGCAGAUCUUUUCUAUUGUGAAGACAGCGGCGACUCUAUUAGUGUAGCGUAAACAGGAACUUGACAUGAACGCAUCGAAACAAUCAUCAAUAGCUAUGAGAAUUGUAUCAUUCGAAAGCGCAAUUAACAGGCUUUUCAACGGUGUGGGUUGUGUAAUUUCUGCUUCUAUUUUGUGGCUACAGUUCUAAUAAUUGGCAACUGGAAUGUAGACACGUGCGCGCGCUACACGUUUAAUUACAUUCUUGGUGAUA